UACGGAGGGGGCUAGCGUUGUUCGGAAUUACUGGGCGUAAAGCGCGCGUAGGCGGCUUUGUAAGUUAGAGGUGAAAGCCCGGAGCUCAACUCCGGAAUUGCCUUUAAGACUGCAUCGCUAGAAUCAUGGAGAGGUGAGUGGAAUUCCGAGUGUAGAGGUGAAAUUCGUAGAUAUUCGGAAGAACACCAGUGGCGAAGGCGACUCACUGGACAUGUAUUGACGCUGAGGUGCGAAAGGGUGGGGAGCAAACAGG
rnacentral:rRNA from 1 species